rnacentral:rRNA from 1 species
UUCGGCUGCCGGAAAGCGGCGAACGGGUGAGUAACACCUGGGUAAUCUACCUGGGCAGUGGGGGAUAACCUGGGGAAACCCGGGCUAACACCGCAUACGAUGCUGGGUCUUUGGACCUGGUCUGAAAGCUGGCCUCUGCUUGCAAGCUAGCGCUCCCAGAGGAGCCCGCGGCUGAUUAGCUGGUUGGUGGGGUAAUGGCCUACCAAGGCGACGAUCAGUAGCCGGCCUGAGAGGGUGAUCGGCCACACUGGAACUGA